rnacentral:lncRNA from 1 species
CAGCUCUGCAGUAGCUGAAGUUCCUCGUGGCAAACAGAGCAAAAGGCUGGAGGAAAACUUGGGCCAGGGUACCCGGAGGUUUAUACUUUUCAGUUUGCCAUGUUUUCCCGGAUCCCCGCAAGCCAUCAAGAGAAGACAUUGAGGAAGGACUGAGGGGACCUCCAACCUCAGAUGAAAGAGCACUGGCCCCACUCGACCCUGCUGUUAGCCCAGAGAUGCUUGGAGUAGGGUCCCCGCAAGUGAUGUUUCCUGACCCCAUCAAAGCAGUCUGAGGGAAGCUCAGGAUCACCUGAGGAAGCCUGACUCAAGGAGAUGGUGUCCUUCACCAGCAGAUGGGAGGGGAUGCAGGUCUUGUCAGGAGUAAAUAUGAUGAUGUUGAGGAGGACUGAGCGGACCUUCCUCCCUAGUGUACAGGACAUCAGAGAAUCCAGCCUUUGUCUGCUGUCAGCCCUGGGAAAGAAAUAUUUUUUAAUACUGAGGAAGUCCAAUACAUCAUUUUUUUCUGUUUGAGUCAUGAAUUUAAUUUGCCUUUCUCUAAUGGCUGAUAAUGUGUAGAAAUUUUUCAUGUGCUCCUUUAACAUACAUAUGUCAACUUCACUGAAGUAUAUAUUGAUAUAUUUUGCCCAUUUAAAAAAUUUGGUUGUUUUCUAAUUUUUCAAUUUUGAGGACUCUUUUUGUAUUCCGGAUACAAGUCUUUUGUUACACAUUUGAUUUGCAAAUAUUUUCUUUUAGUCUAUAGCUUUGGUACACAUUUGUGGAGAUGCUCAGCGUCAUAUGUUAUUAGGGAAUUGCAAGUUACAACAACAUUGAGGUACCACUACACACCUAGUCAAACGGCUAAAAUCCAAAACACUGAAAACACCACGUGCUGAGUGGAUGCAGAGUAAAAGGAACUCUCAGUAACUGUUGGUAGGAAGGAAAAUUAAUUAGUAUAGCUACUUUGGAAGACAGUUCAGCAGUAUCUUCCAAAAAUAAGCAUAAUCAAAAAUUGGUUUGUGAUGUUAUUCACAUUUAUGAAAGAUAGAAUAAGUGUAACUUUACCACUGACAUGAGAAUCUUCAACUUAAACAAUAGCUUGAAUACAUAAAUGUCCAUUAUCUGUGCAUUGUAUUUUACUUUGGGGGCAAAAAUGAGUUUAAGGCUUAUUUUAAAUGUUGUGUGGAAAUAAGAUUUCACUUAAGUUUUAUGGCUCCCAAGUCACUCCUCAGAAUAUUAAGAAUGUUGUUGCUUAUCUGACUUGCAUAUGAUAGAGGAAAAACAGAGCUGGUGAUUUACAUGGGUUUUUCCAAACCAAUAAAGCCAUAACGAGAAUCUCAAAGCCCCUGGCAGGCUUUCUUAUGAGCAACACCACCCUGAAUAAACAAAGCAUACAUCACACUAGGCCUACAGGUGCCUUUUGGGUGAAUACAACAUUCAAAAAAAGUAAAGAACUUCCUGAAUUUCAGCUCUUGGGAUUCAAGAAAGGAAAGAACUGAGAUUUUCAGUAAACUGCAAGUUCACCAAAAAUAAGUUUAAUAAGAUGAUGCAUUGCCAUUUCUGCUACAGAAAUAACUCAUAGAGUUGAGACUGCAAAAAAGUGCAGUGUUCAUCUUACAUUAAAUAUUUUUAAAUGAAAAUAUAUGCAAAUCAGUUUUGUGCAAUUUAAAACUAUGAUUAAAUGUAUAAUUUAGAUGCUUAAUUGAUAUUUUUAUCGGAUUUUUCACAAUAAUUCUGUCUGAUGUAUAUGUAUAAUUAACUUAUUGAAACAAUCUGUACAAAAUACAUUUAUACAUUUUAUAAAGAUUGUUUGUUACCCACAGUGUACUGCACAUAGUGAUGAUCAAAUGAUGUUUAGUUAGGCUUUUUAAAUGGAAGUUUCAC